rnacentral:rRNA from 1 species
UAGGGAAUAUUAGUAAUGGGCGAAAGCCUGAACUAGCAACACCGCGUGUGCGAAGAAGGCCUUCGGGUUGUAAAGCACUUUUUGCGAGGAUGAGGAAGGACGGUACUCUCAGAAUAAGUCUCGGCUACCUACGUGCCAGCAGCCGCGGUAACACGUAGGAGGCGAACGUUAUCCGGUUUUAUUGGGCGUAAAGUGCGUGUAGGUGGUUUGGUAAGUAGAGCGUGAAAGAUCCUGGCUCAACUGGGAGGGGUCGGUCUAAACUGCCAGACUGGAGGAUGGUAGAGGGAGGGGGAAUUCCGUGUGUAGCGGUGGAAUGCGCAGAUAUCCGGAGGAACACCAGUGGCGAAAGCGGCCUCCUGGACCAUUCCUGACACUCAGACGCGAAAGCUAGGGUAGCAAACG